rnacentral:rRNA from 1 species
GAUGAACGCUGGCGGCGUGCCUAAUACAUGCAAGUCGAGCGAACAGACGAGGAGCUUGCUCCUCUGACGUUAGCGGCGGACGGGUGAGUAACACGUGGAUAACCUACCUAUAAGACUGGUAUAACUUCGGGAAACCGGAGCUAAUACCGGAUAAUAUAUUGAACCGCAUGGUUCAAUAGUGAAAGACGGUUUUGCUGUCACUUAUAGAUGGAUCCGCGCUGCAUUAGCUAGUUGGUAAGGUAACGGCUUACCAAGGCAACGAUGCGUAGCCGACCUGGAAGGGUGAUAGGCCACACUGGAACUGAGCCACGGUCCAGACUCCUACGGGAGGCAGCAGUAGGGAAUCUUCCGCAAAGGGCGAAAGCCUGACGCAGCAACGCCGCGUGAGUGAUGAAGGUCUUCGGAUCGUAAAACUCUGUUAUUAGGGAAGAACAAAUGUGUAAGUAACCAUGCACGUCUUGACGGUACCUAAUCAGAAAGCCACGGCUAACUACGUG